rnacentral:rRNA from 1 species
UACGUAGGGGGCAAGCGUUGUCCGGAUUCAUUGGGCGUAAAGAGCGUGUAGGCGGCCAGGUAGGUCGGUUGUGAAAACUGGAGGCUCAACCUUCAGAGGUCGACCGAAACCAUCUGGCUAGAGUCCGGGAGAGGAGAGUGGAAUUCCUGGUGUAGCGGUGAAAUGCGUAGAUAUCUGGAGGAACACCGGUGGCGAAGGCGGCGUCCUGGACCAACACUGACACUGAGGAGCGAAAGCCAGGGGAGCAAACGGG